GUGUCAGCAGCCGCGGUAAUACGUAGGGGGCAAGCGUUGUCCGGAUUUAUUGGGCGUAAAGCGCGUGUAGGCGGCUAUGCAGGUCCGCUGUGAAAACUCGAGGCUCAACCUCGAGACGUCGGUGGAAACCGCAUGGCUAGAGUCCGGAAGAGGAGAGUGGAAUUCCCGGUGUAGCGGUGAAAUGCGCAGAUAUCGGGAAGAACACCCGUGGCGAAGGCGGCUCUCUGGGACGGUACUGACGCUGAGACGCGAAAGCGUGGGGAGCGAACAGGAUUAGAAACCCCCGUAGUCC
rnacentral:rRNA from 1 species